UACGUAGGGUCCGAGCGUUGUCCGGAAUUACUGGGCGUAAAGAGCUCGUAGGUGGUUUGUCGCGUUGUUCGUGAAAACUCACAGCUUAACUGUGGGCGUGCGGGCGAUACGGGCAGACUGGAGUACUGCAGGGGAGACUGGAAUUCCUGGUGUAGCGGUGGAAUGCGCAGAUAUCAGGAGGAACACCGGUGGCGAAGGCGGGUCGCUGGGCAGUAACUGACGCUGAGGAGCGAAAGCGUGGGGAGCAAACAGG
rnacentral:rRNA from 1 species